UACGGAGAGUGCAAGCGUUGCUCGGAUUUACUGGGCGUAAAGGGCACGUAGGCGGCCCGGCAAAUCGGGUGUGGAAUCUCCCCGUUCAACGGGGGGGCGGCAUCCGAAAAUACCGGGCUUGAGCGCAGGAGGGGUGAGAGGAACUCUAGGUGGAGCGGUGAAAUGCGUAGAUAUCUAGAGGAACGACGGAGGCGAAGGCGUCUCACUGGUCUGCUGCUGACGCUGAGGUGCGAAAGCUAGGGGAGCAAACGGG
rnacentral:rRNA from 1 species